rnacentral:rRNA from 1 species
CCAAACCUGGUUGAUCCUGCCAGUAGUCAUAUGCUUGUCUCAAAGAUUAAGCCAUGCAUGUCUAAGUAUAAAUGAUUCUAUACUGUGAAACUGCGAAUGGCUCAUUAAAUCAGUUAUAGUUUAUUUGAUAGUACCUUACUACUUGGAUAACCGUGGUAAUUCUAGAGCUAAUACAUGCAUCAAAACUCGACUGUC